CCGAAUACUUUUAGUUUUCGCACUCUAACUUUAGUAAAAGUGAAUGGAAAUCUAUGAAAUUUUAACACAAGGUUUAUGACCACAAAAGGAAGGUUGGUAUUGAUUUGGGGAGUUUUGGUCCCAACAUUUUAGGAAUUAGGGGCCAAAAAGGGCCCAAAUAAGCAUUUUCUUGGUUUUCGCACUAUAACUUUAGUUUAAGUUAAUAGAAAUCUAUGAAAUUUUGACACAAGGUUUAUGACCACAAAAGAAUGGUUGGGAUUGAUUUUGGGAGUUUUGGUUUCAACAGUUUAGGAAUAAGGGGCCAAAAAAGGGCCUAAAUAAGCAUUGUUCUUG
rnacentral:lncRNA from 1 species